rnacentral:rRNA from 1 species
ACUCAAAUGAAUUGACGGGGACCCGCACAAGCAGUGGAGGAUGUGGUUUAAUUCGAGGCUACGCGAAGAACCUUACCGAGGUUUGACAUCCCAGGAAGGCCGCCGAAAGGUGGCUGUGCCUUCGGGAACCUGGUGACAGGUGCUGCAUGGCCGUCGUCAGCUCGUGUCGUGAGAUGUUUGGUUAAGUCCAUCAACGAGCGCAACCCCUGUCGUGUGUUGUAUUUUCACACGAGACUGCCCGGGCCAACCGGGAGGAAGGCGGGGUCGAAGUCUGGUCAGCAUGGCCCUUACACCUCGGGCUACACACGUCCUACAAUGGCUACUACAACGGGUUGCCAAGCCGCAAGGCGGAGCUAAUCCCAUCAAAAGUAGUCUCAGUUCGGAUUGGGGGCUGAAACUCGCCCCCAUGAAGUUGGAAUUGCUAGUAAUGGCAGGUCAGCAUACUGCCGUGAAUACGUUCCCGGGUCUUGUACACACCGCCCGU